rnacentral:rRNA from 1 species
GGCCGCGGGAAUUCGAUUCCGGCCUAACACAUGCAAGUCGAGCGGGGUUUUCGGACCUAGCGGCGGACGGGUGAGUAAUGCGUAGGAAGCUGCCCGAUAGAGGGGGAUACCAGUUGGAAACGACUGUUAAUACCGCAUAAUGUCUACGGACCAAAGUGUGGGACCUUCGGGCCACAUGCUAUCGGAUGCGCCUACGUGGGAUUAGCUAGUUGGUGAGGUAAUGGCUCACCAAGGCGACGAUCUCUAGCUGGUUUGAGAGGAUGAUCAGCCACACUGGAACUGAGACACGGCUCAGACUCCUACGGGAGGCAGCAGUGGGGAAUAUUGGACAAUGGGCGCAAGCCUGAUCCAGCCAUGCCGCGUGUGUGAAGAAGGCCUUCGGGUUGUAAAGCACUUUCAGCGAGGAGGAAGGGUGGGUGUUAAUAGCACAUCAUUUGACGUACUCGCAGA